CUUCCGUAGGUGAACCUGCGGAAGGAUCAUUACUGAGUGCGGGCUGCCUCCGGGCGCCCAACCUCCCACCCGUGAAUACCUAACACUGUUGCUUCGGCGGGGAACCCCCCUCGGGGGCGAGCCGCCGGGGACUACUGAACUUCAUGCCUGAGAGUGAUGCAGUCUGAGUCUGAAUAUAAAAUCAGUCAAAACUUUCAACAAUGGAUCUCUUGGUUCCGGCAUCGAUGAAGAACGCAGCGAACUGCGAUAAGUAAUGUGAAUUGCAGAAUUCAGUGAAUCAUCGAGUCUUUGAACGCACAUUGCGCCCCCUGGCAUUCCGGGGGGCAUGCCUGUCCGAGCGUCAUUGCUGCCCAUCAAGCCCGGCUUGUGUGUUGGGUCGUCGUCCCCCCCGGGGGACGGGCCCGAAAGGCAGCGGCGGCACCGUGUCCGGUCCUCGAGCGUAUGGGGCUUUGUCACCCGCUCGACUAGGGCCGGCCGGGCGCCAGCCGACGUCUCCAACCAUUUUUCUUCAGGUUGACCUCGGAUCAUGUAGAGCCGGCAUAGCCCGCUGAACUUAUGCAUAUCAAUAAGCGGAGGAA
rnacentral:rRNA from 1 species